rnacentral:rRNA from 1 species
GAUGAACGCUGGCGGCGUGCCUAAUACAUGCAAGUCGAGCGAACUGAUUAGAAGCUUGCUUCUAUGACGUUAGCGGCGGACGGGUGAGUAACACGUGGGCAACCUGCCUGUAAGACUGGGAUAACUUCGGGAAACCGAAGCUAAUACCGGAUAGGAUCCUCUCCUUCAUGGGAGAUGAUUGAAAGAUGGUUUCGGCUAUCACUUACAGAUGGGCCCGCGGUGCAUUAGCUAGUUGGUGAGGUAACGGCUCACCAAGGCAACGAUGCAUAGCCGACCUGAGAGGGUGAUCGGCCACACUGGGACUGAGACACGGCCCAGACUCCUACGGGAGGCAGCAGUAGGGAAUCUUCCGCAAUGGACGAAAGUCUGACGGAGCAACGCCGCGUGAGUGAUGAAGGCUUUCGGGUCGUAAAACUCUGUUGUUAGGGAAGAACAAGUACAAGAGUAACUGCUUGUACCUUGACGGUGCCUAACCAGAAAGCCACGGCUAACUACGUGCCAGCCGCCGCCGUAA